UACGGAGGGAGCAAGCGUUAAUCGGAAUAACUGGGCGUAAAGGGCACGCAGGCGGGCUUUUAAGUGAGGGGUGAAAACCCCGGGCUUAACCUGGGAAUAGCAUUUCUGACUGGGAGUCUAGAGUACUUUAGGGAGGGGUAGAAUUCCACGUGUAGCGGGGAAAUGCGUAGAGAUGUGGAGGAAUACCGAAGGCGAAGGCAGCCCCGUGGGACUGUACUGACGCUCGUGUGCGAAAGCGUGGGCAGCAACUAGG
rnacentral:rRNA from 1 species